UGGCUUAACAGUGCUUCUGGUUUUUUAUCAGCAGGCCAGCAUUUGGCGUCACAAUGAGAUAAAAAUUGGGGUCUUGUUCUGCCGCCGCUCCGGGCGAGGCCAGCAGGUGAAUAGCAAUAGUCCCCCCGGGGAACUGCGCUCUCGAGAUGCUGGCGGAAGGCGUUUCAUCGACCCGUCUUGAAACACGGACCAAGGAGUCUAACAUGUAUGCGAGUUGGUGGGUGGCAAACCCAUGAAGCGCAAGGAACCUGACUGGUGGGAUGGCUUGAGCCUGCACCAUCGACCUAUCUUGAGCUUGUGCGAAGGAUGUGAGUACGAGCAUACACGUUGGGACCCGAAAGAUGGUGAACUAUGCCUGAGCAGGGUGAAGCCAGAUGAAAACCUGGUGGAGGCUCGUAGAUGUGCUGACGUGCAAAUCGCUCCUCUGACCUGUUCACUUUU
rnacentral:rRNA from 1 species